CUCCAGGUCGCCAAGUGGGAAGGCGUUGGUCUGCAAAACCAACUAUCCGUGGGUUCGAUUCCCACCCUGGAGUCCA
rnacentral:tRNA from 2 species